rnacentral:rRNA from 1 species
AGCAGUCGCCGCGGUAAUACAGAGGGUGCGAGCGUUAAUCGGAUUUACUGGGCGUAAAGCGUGCGUAGGCGGCUUCUUAAGUCGGAUGUGAAAUCCCUGAGCUUAACUUAGGAAUUGCAUUUGAUACUGGGAAGCUAGAGUAUGGGAGAGGAUGGUAGAAUUCCAGGUGUAGCGGUGAAAUGCGUAGAGAUCUGGAGGAAUACCGAUGGCGAAGGCAGCCAUCUGGCCUAAUACUGACGCUGAGGUACAAAAGCAUGGGGAGCAAACAGGAUUAGAUACCCCUGUAGUCCCUGUCUCUUAUAC